UGCUGUGUGUCAGCCUGAUUCCGUCAGAUCUCAGAGGCUAAGCAGUGUGGGACCUGGUUAGUACUUGGAUGGGAGACCUCUAAGGAAAGCUGUGUUUC